rnacentral:rRNA from 1 species
GCAUCGAUGAAGAACGCAGCGAAAUGCGAUACGUAAUAUGAAUUGCAGAUAUUCGUGAAUCAUCGAAUCUUUGAACGCACAUUGCGCCCUUUGGUAUUCCAAAGGGCAUGCCUGUUUGAGCGUCAUUUCUCCCUCAAACCCCCGGGUUUGGUGUUGAGCAAUACGCUAGGUUUGUUUGAAAGAAUUUAACGUGGAAACUUAUUUUAAGCGACUUAGGUUUAUCCAAAACGCUUAUUUUGCUAGUGGCCACCACAAUUUAUUUCAUAACUUUGACCUCAAAUCAGGUAGGACUACCCGCUGAACUUAAGCAUAUCAAUAAGCGGAGGA